UGGAAAAAUAUUUUCUGAAAGUCAAAGAAAUCACCCAUAUGAACAUGAAAACCUCCUGUUUCUUCCUCUUUCUGGUGGCAGCUUCCAGAUGUGUCCUGUCCCAGGUGCAGGUGAAGGAGUCGGGACCUGGCCUGGUGAAGCCCUCACAGACCCUGUCCCUCACCUGCUCUGUCUCUGGAUCCUCUUACACCAUCGCUAAUAUGAAAUGGAAGCGACAGGCCCCUGGAAAGGGGCAGGAGCAUGUUGGAGUAAUAUCAAGAUAUGGAAGCACAAUCUAUAACCCAGCUUUUCAGUCACGAGUCGCCAUCACCAGAGACACCUCCAAGAAAGAAUUUUAUUUAAAGCUGAGCAGCGUGACACCCGAGGACACGGCCACAUAUUACUGUGGGAUAUACACAGUGAGGGGAAGUCAGGGUGAGCCCAGACAAAAACCUCCCCUGAGGGCACGGGAGGGGCUGGGCUGCAGGUGGCGUUGGGGAACACCAGGGGGCCGUCAAGGGCCAUCCACAGGAACAGACAUAGAGAGGGUCUGGGAGGAGUUUCCCGGCCUUGCCUGGGGUUCCCUCUUCUUGCUCCACAGUAUGUAA